rnacentral:rRNA from 1 species
UUGCAGUUAAAAAGCUCGUAGUUGGAUUUCGGAACCGGCCGAUUGGUCCGUCCUCUGGAUCGUGUACUGAUCGGUCUGUUCUUCUUCGCGAAGACCGCGUGUGCUCUUAACUGAGUGGGCGUGGGAUUCGCGACGUUUACUUUGAAAAAAUUAGGGUGUUCAAAGCAGGCAGUCGCUUGAAUAUCUCAGCAUGGAAUAAUAGAAUAGGACUUUGGUCUUAUUUUGUUGGUUUCCGAGACCGAAGUAAUGAUUAAUAGGGACAGUUGGGGGCAUUCGUAUUUCAUUGUCAGAGGUGAAAUUCUUGGAUUUAUGAAAGACGAACUUCUGCGAAAGCAUUUGCCAAGGAUGUUUUCAUUAAUCAAGAACGAAAGUUGGAGGCUCGAAGACGAUCAGAUACCGUCCUAGUUCCAACCAUAAACGAUGCCGUCUGCGGAUCGGAGGUCGCUCAUGUAAGGCUCCUUCGGCACGCUAUGAGAAAUCAAAGACUUCGGGUUCCGGGGGGAGUACGUUCGCAAGAAUGAAACUUAAGGGAAUUGACGGAAGGGCACCACCAGGAGUGGAACCUGCGGUUUAAUUUGACUCAACACGGGAAAACUCACCAGGUCCAGACA